GACGAACCGUGCGAACGUUGUUCGGAAUCACUGGGCUUAAAGGGCGCGUAGGCGGCUCGCGAGGUCGGGGGUGAAAUCCCACGGCUUAACCGUGGAAGUGCCUUCGAUACCGGCGGGCUCGAGGAAGGUAGGGGUGCGCGGAACUUCUGGUGGAGCGGUGAAAUGCGUUGAUAUCAGAAGGAACGCCGGCGGCGAAAGCGGCGCAUUGGAUCUUUUCUGACGCUGAGGCGCGAAAGCCAGGGGAGCAAACGGG
rnacentral:rRNA from 1 species